rnacentral:tRNA from 1 species
GUGGUUGUGGCUCAGUGGUAGAGUGCUCGCCUAGCAUGUGAGGGAUGCUGGGUUCGAUCCUCAGCACCACA